rnacentral:lncRNA from 1 species
GACAAUUCAUAUAAGAGAACUUGCAAAAGAGUCUCAAUUUAACAUCUUUCAAUUUCCCAGAUUCAAUAAGUAGAGGUAGUGAGUAAAACCCAGCUGAGGCUUUUCUAAGCACUCAAUGAACAGCAUUAUCGAAUUCACUUGUUGAGCAAUCUUCAAAACAAGUACUCACACUCAGAUGCAAUUCUAGAAGAAGGAAAGAGAGAUUAGAUUAACUCACGCUGUAGCUUGCUCAAGCAACAAGACAUAGAGACGCCGAGAGCGAGAGAGCGAGUUCACACCAAAAAGGUCGACAAGACGAGUGCCUCCUUCACAACGACGACGCUUUAGGCUUUACUAAUUAACCUAAUUAAUUGAAAAUUAAAUUAAAAGAUUAAAAUUUUAAAAUAGUGAGGAUGAAACUAAAAAGUUUAAUAAAAAAGGAGCGAACUUGUUAGUUUCAGACUUGAAUAAGAGAGAGAGACGGAAGAGGUAGAGAAGAAGAGAGAAAGACGGAAGAAGAAGAUAAGAGAAGAGUUGAAUAAUGUAUUUCAUAAGAUAAAGGGAACCUUAGGGUUUUGGUUUCAUUUAAAUACAUACUCUCAACUUAAAACGACAAAGCAUAAAUAAACUUGAAACCUUCUCUUUCCCUAGAAGGCUUUCUCCCACUUUGUCUCUUCAGCCACAAACUUCAUUGG